UUUUCUAAACCCCUGGAAAGUUUUUCAGGAAAACCAGUUAAAAUUUCAAUGCUACUUUAUUUUUAUCUUAUCUCUUCUAUUUUUGGUAUAUCAUCGCGAAACCUAAACGUGAUCGCGAAACCUAAACAUCCAUUUCCUUUGAAUCUUCCUCUCUCGAUCACCGAAGAAAAUUUUCGCUAUUUGGUUUCUGUAGCUCUCAAUCACAGCUUUCAAUUGGCGAUGCCUUUUGCUUUCAUGUCGACCGUGCAUUUGAGACCUUGCUUUGGGGGUUCACGGCGGUUAUGUCACGGGUUCAGUCCGUGUUUUGUGUGUUUAGAUCGGUUGCUCUGCAUUGUGGGUUCACAACAGCUGCUUCGGUGAUUUUUGUUUGCUUGACUUGUUCACAGCAGGUGCAUAUGUUCAUAACUGCUUUGCCGAUUCGUGGCUGCUUUAGGGGUUUGCGACUUCGGAGGUUCGCAGCUGCUUCGGUUUAACGUGUGUGCGCUUUCCUUUCAGAAUCACGGUUCAUCUUUAUCUUUUUCUCUCUUGUAUAAUUGUGGUUUGUUUGUUUUAAUAGAGUAGGAAAACCAAUAAGUCAAACUGUAUUUUCUGAUGAGGGAGAUUUUAAUGUGUUUUUGACUCAAUGGAUUGUUAUUCACCAACCCAAGGGUCUACUCUGACAGAAACAAGAGUCGGGUUAUGAGAUUUGGGUGAAGGAGCUUGUGAGUGUGAAGAAAAUGAGGGGAAAUUUUUUGUAGGGGAUGGGGUGGGAUGAUGGUUCUUCCCAGAUUUGUUCUCAAGAGAAUAGUAAGAUGAAUUUUGAUAGCUCAUAAGUGAGAUUUGGAUUGUGAACUAGUGGUAAUAAACUUCAAAGUUUGAACAGUAAGAUUUGGAUUUGGGACUAAUGGUGUCUAAAAGCCUUUUGAGUUUGAGUAUAUCCUUAAAUUAGGUCCACUUUAUGCGUAACAGAAAACGCAUUCCCCACUUACAAAACUAUGUUUGUGAUUUCCUUAGGCGUGCCAUUGUUAUGGAGUUAGCAGUGUGUUAAACACCCUAGAGGAUAUCAUGUAUUGUGCUUAACCAAAUUGAUUUUGGGUUUCUCAUUAUGAAGUUGGUUUAUACAAGAUAGAAUAGCAUACCACAGUAAUGCGGAUGUUGCCAUUGAUUUAUACCACCACUACAAGCGGGAUGUGACUAUGAUGAAGGAUAUUGGAUUCAAUGCCUAUAGGUCUCCAUUUCUUGGCCAAGAAUACUACCUCGUGGAGUUAACCGAGAAGGCAUUGUAUAUUAAAACAAUCUCAUAAAUGAUCUGAUAGCAAAUGAACAACAACCUUUUAUAACUCUAUUUCACUCUAGUUUCCCUCAAGCUCUUGAAGAUGAAUAUGGUGGUUUUCUGAAUCUCAAAAUUGUGUAAACAAUAGUGAGAUUAAAGGGGGUUCAUCCCUACAACAAAGAAGAAGUAUUAGGGAGUAUCAAUCUCUAUUUCCUACAAUUGAUUUUUCACUGGCAAGUACCUAGAUUUUUUCACGUUAUGCUUCCUUGUGGUUUAUGAUUUCAUAGAAGACAACUAUCCUUUUUUUUCGUUGUACAAUAUUAUGGCAUAUCAAAUACCUUUUUAGAAACAUGCCAUCAAAUACGAAGUUGUAUAUUUUUUAAUUAUUGAUAGUUAUCUUUAUGUAUUUUUUCCUUAAGAAAAAACAAUAUAUUCUUGUUUUUUCUUAAUCAUUUUGAUGAAUUUUACCUAACUGGAAAUUGCCAUCCAGUAUGAUUUGUUCAUAUAUGUAACUCCCACUUUACUUUUCACUCCA